AAGAUUGAUAGGAUAAUAAUUUCCAGCAGCAGGUUGGUUCACUUGAAGAUCCCAGUCAGCUCUAUAAUCCCGAACUCUUUUAAGGAAAUCACGUCCAUUAGAGUCUGUGUAGAAUGUUUUGUUGCUUUUGAUGUCAGUUUGAAUCUGAGUCACCAGCUCUUUCCCAAUUCCAUUGUCAAUAGGUAUGGGGCCAACAGUGAACUCAACUUCAACGUGCUCCUUUUCCUUGUACACUCUAGUGAUCUGAUAUAUCCAUGAAUUGAUAUUUUGAUGAACUUCAUCUAGCAGCGGACCUCGUAGAAUGGUAGCUGGGACCUUUCCCUCAGGGUGGAUGGGGAAUGAGCCGUUUGGGCGAAACACAUAUGCUCCAGAUGCCUGAAUGUCUUUAUAAUCAUCCUUGCUUCCAUCGUCUGCAGAAUAAUAACUGAAUGAUUGCUCCAAAGAGCUUCUAACCUGGUUUCUCUUAUUAAAAUAUUGAGUAAACUUUGCCCCAUUUGCAGAAUAUAACAGUUUCAAGUUCCCCGGCCCCACUUCUACUGCAUCACUUUGACUUCCAUCAGUUUUGUAGAACGUCUGUGGUAUUGAAGCAGCAACUGCUUGUUUACCACUUGUUAUAACAUAGGAGCUAAAGCCCAAAGGUGGAACAGUGGCUGUAAACACAAGCCAAUAUUUGGGGCUUGAUGUAGGGGAUUCACCAAAGUAUGCUGCAGCAUAGUAGUUCCUUAUUACUAUUGAUUCUUUAACUAUUGGAAGAAGCUGUGAUUCAAUUUCUUUUCCAGUGGAAUCCUCAACGAUGACAUUCUUAUUGACGACAGGGAUUCUGACAACAUCUGUUCUUUUCCACCCAAGAGCAUUGUACACGACAACCACUAAUUUUUUGCCUGGAGCAAGAUCAGCUUCUGUUGGGGGACAAUAACUUAUAUUCAACAACGGGCACUGCUUGAAAUUUAUCUGAGGAUUCUUGCAUCCAGAUGCUGAAGCUGAUUCCACCAUACAAGCAAGUGAAUUAGACACUAAAUCCUCAGCCUGCUUGUAACCUAUGAACAGUCGUUUGGCAUAAUCAUCAGCAACAUGUUGCUUUGAAGUGCCACUGACAGCAUCAUGAUGUUGAGCAAUGGCUAGGGCAUCAGCCAAUAUUUCGGUUGUUGGUCCUGUCUCAAUUCUUCCUUUAAAGAAUUCUAAUUGCCUUGCUGCCAAAUAAUAGCCACUCAUCAUUCUAACAUAGAGUUUGAGAGCAGGCCUACUUGUAAAGUAUCCAGUCCAAUAAGCAUUAAUACGGUCUGCGUACGGGAAAUAGUCAUCCGUCUUGAGAGGCCAUGACUCGUCCAAAGCAUACUUUGCAUCAGUAUAAAUUGAAGGGCUUGAAUAUAAAGCAUUGACACGACCAUCUUGGUUUACGUAGUGAAUGAGCUUGUCCAUAUUCCGAAACCAUGUAUGAGCAUAUUGGUACUUGAAGUCGGUUCCCAUGGUCCACAUUAUAUG
rnacentral:misc_RNA from 1 species